AUUGAACGCUGGCGGCAGGCUUAACACAUGCAAGUCGAGCGAGCGGCGGACGGGUGAGUAAUGUAUGGGGAACUGCCCGAUAGAGGGGGAUAACUACUGGAAACGGUGGCUAAUACCGCAUACUAUCUGAUGUACCCAUAUGGGAUUUGCUAGUAGGUGGGGUAAAGGCUCACCUAGGCGACGAUCCCUAGCUGGUCUGAGAGGAUGACCAGCCACACUGGGACGGAGACACGGCCCAGACUCCUACGGGAGGCAGCAGUGGGGAAUAUUGCACAAUGGGCGCAAGCCUGAUGCAGCCAUGCCGCGUGUAUGAAGAAGGCCUUAGGGUUGUAAAGCACUUUCAGCGAGGAGGCGUUACCCGCAGAAGAAGCACCGGCUAACUCCGGGCCAGCAGCCGCGGUAAUAC
rnacentral:rRNA from 1 species